rnacentral:miRNA from 1 species
ACCUUAGAAACCAACUAAGUUUGUUAUUGGUAUGAGCUUUCGUGUGCUGAGAAGUGUGCAUGCACACGAAAGCUCAUACUAAUAACAAACUUAGUUGGUCUCUAAGGU